rnacentral:rRNA from 1 species
CGGUGGAGCAUGUGGUUUAAUUCGAUGCAACGCGAAGACCUUACCUGGGCUUGACAUCCCGGGAAUCCCCUGGAAACAGGGGAGUGCCCCUUCGGGGAACCCGGUGACAGGUGCUGCAUGGCUGUCGUCAGCUCGUGUCGUGAGAUGCUGGGUUAAGUCCCGCAACGAGCGCAACCCCUAUCUUUAAUUGCCAUCAUUCAGUUGGGCACUUUAGAGAGACUGCCGGUGUUAAGCCGGAGGAAGGUGGGGAUGACGUCAAGUCCUCAUGGCCUUUAUGUCUAGGGCUACACACGUGCUACAAUGGGUGGUACAAAGAGCAGCUAACUCGCGAGAGUAUGCAAAUCUCAAAAAGCCAUCCUCAGUUCGGAUUGGAGUCUGCAACUCGACUCCAUGAAGUUGGAAUCGCUAGUAAUCGCGGAUCAGCAUGCCCGCGUCGAUACGUUCCGGCCUU